rnacentral:pre_miRNA from 1 species
AAAAAAGACAAACCUGAGUUUUCGUGUCUAACUUUGACUGUCCGUCUUACAUGAAAUUUUUUUAUAAUUCAUAUUUUCAUUGUUGUUAGAUGAUAAAACAUGAUUAAUAUUUUAUGCGUGACUUGUCUUUUUAAUUUUUUUCAUAAUUUUUUUAAUAAGACGGACGGUCAAACGUUGGACACGGAAACCAAGGUUUGUCUUUUUU